GUAUUUAUAAAUAGAGCAAAGAAAUGUUUCUUUUUCAGCAAAAAUACAAGUGCACAUAUACACAUACACAUAUGUUGAUGUGAACCAAGUUAAUUUUCUCUCAUAUUCCACCUUGAUUAUCAUAAAAAAUAAAAAUUAAAUAUCUAAACUUUUCUUUGUAUCUUCCUGUACACUUGUUUUUAGCACUAUGUGAAAGUUUACUGAGAUCUACUCACGACAAGAGUCAAAUUACUUGUAGGUAUCAGCAAACUUGGCCAAUAUAGUUGAUUCUGUGUCUGAUUAUUUGUAUUAUGUGAAGCCAAACUGAAAUCAAUAAAAACAAGAAUGACUAUAAAUGACAGAAUCUGUGAUAUUUCAGUUUAUUGAGGAUGUUACUUUGAAUGACUUUGACAAACCUGCCACCCUCUGCAUAAUGUAUUAAAAAGAAAAUGCACAAGAAAGAAAAAAUACUACAAGCAGCAAAAUCAAGCAUCAAGAUAAAAAUAUUCUACAGAAUUUACACUUAGUAACUGCAAAUAUACUGUAUGUAUGUGUGUAUUUAUAGUUUUAGGACAAUUGUGUCUUUAACGUAAAUUUACAAUCAACCACAACACGUCAUAAGUGGCAUUUCUGAACACUGAUCAACGU